GGUCUUGACAAUUUUAUGGUCCUUGAAAGUACACGUAGGCAUCAAAUUUUACACUAUAAAAUAUAUUAUCUCCUGAUACCAUCACAAGACUAUAAAAAAAUACCCGUCUUAUAUAUUACAUAUGAUAUUACAAGAAGAUUAUGUGAUUAACACCCCUACAUAAUUGGUAGCUAUGACUAUGUCUUAUAUAUGGCAUCACAAGAGCAAUAAACAUGUAAAAACUUUUGCGUACUGACACAUACACAUAUUAUUACAUAUAUUUCAUUGACUGACACCACUUACACUGUCUUGUCGACAGACAUAUGCAACCGUCAUAGAUAGAGCCACAUGUUUCCCAACGAAACCAUGGCAUGUUAGCUAGUUGUUCGCUAUAGCCACUGGUAUAUCACCACCAGUUUUUCCAGCCAUAGACCCAACCCGAACAACGGUGACGGCCAUGCCCUCAGCCCGGCCCGUCGGCGAUAUCUUUGUGGUAGCAUAUGAUGACGGCUUGCCGACGAGGUUGUGGGCCUGUCGGAUCUUCUCCACCUUUCUCACCCUCACCACACCUUCCACCGGGAGCUCGUUGGUCAUGUUCUUGGCUCCACCCCGAAGCAUCGUCGUCGUUGUCGUUGUCGUCUCCCCCGUUUCCUCUCUUCGCCGCUCUUUAAUCGAAUGAUGGAGAUCGACCUAGCUAUUUAUCUAGGGUUUCGAGAGCUCUAGCUAUGGCAAGAUGGUACAUGUUCUUGAGUGAGCUUGCCAGCCUUGGCCACCAUUUAUACUACUCCUAGACAACUACCAACGAGUUGUGUUCUUGUGGGACUCUGCACUAGAUCUCCAGUGAAGAUGCCAAUUGUACAGUGAGAGAGCAACCAAUCAAUGGAGAAAUGUGCAAUGGAUGCUCCUGACUCCUGUUCGAUCGACGUGGCUAGCUGCUUUUUCUUUUGCCUUUUGGAUUUGGAUGUAGCAGCAUAAUAUUAGGUCUUGUUUGUUAGGUCGUUGCUGUGCAGAGUGGUUAUCAUUUGGG
rnacentral:lncRNA from 1 species